CAACAAUAGAAACACUGCAUUUGUGAAUAUAGAUAGAAUGUGUCAUAAAAAAUAAAGCCUAUUUAUAUUUCACUGGAUAGUUUUAAAGCUAGUCCUUAUAAUACAUAAAUGGCAUUUUUACAUUGAUUUCCAUAGUGAUCAUCUUACUCUUGAACACCCCACUAUGACUUUUCUAAACAGGAAGUCAGUGCUAUUUGAAAUUAUAGAUCAGGGUAUAUGAACAUUAGAAUCAUGGGUUAUUGAGAAAGUUUCAAUAAUCCCAAAAGCCUUAGCUAAUUUACAGAUAUAUUGUAUUUUUAUCUGUUUCUAAUUCAAAGGGUUAGUUUCCCAGUAAUCAUAUGCAUUUUUAAAGCUCUGUGGACUGUGUAAAAAGUUGAAGUUGAGGCCAAGUGUGGUGGCUCAUGCCUGUAAUCCCAGCACUUUGGGAGGCCGAGGUGGGUGGAUCACUUGAGGUCAGGAUUUCAAGACCAGCUUGGCCAUCAUGGCAAAACCCUGACUCUACUAAAAAAUGCAAAAAUUAGCCUGGCGUGGUGGUGCACACAUGUAAUCCCAGCUAUUCAGGAGGCUGAGGCAUGAGAGUAACUUGAACCUGGGAGUCGGAAGUUGCAGUGAACAGAGAUUGUGCCAUUGCACUCCAGCCUGGGUAACAGAGCAAGACUGAGUCUCCAAAAUAAAUAAACAAAUGAAUAAAAAGUUGAAGCUGGUAAAAUUUGAUAGAUUGGUUACUUCAUGGGACCUUUGUAGCAAUAGAAUAAGAAGCAGGGAUGUUUCCUAUACUGCAAUCUUACCCAUUUGUGCCAGGUGAGCUAAAUUUGAGAUGAUAGAACAGAUUUUUCUAUUAUUUUGUUAACUCUUUAUAUUUGUUUAGUACUUUAUAGUUUAAGGACAAUUUUUCAGUCUGUUACUUCAUUUGGUCCUCUUCUAGGUAGAAACAGCAAGCCUUUAUUAUCCCAUUAAAAUAAAAUCAAUCAAACAAAACAAAACCUCUUAAGUUUUAGAGGCUAAUAGAGGAUGAGUGACCUCUUCAAAUUCACUUGGCUGUUUGAUGGUAGAACAGGACAGGAUCCAAGCGUGAUUCUUGAUUCAGUUUAUUUUCUGCAUUAUCACCCAGACCUUUAGAUUUUUAGGAACUGUAAGGUUGUGAGACAGAAUCACUUAAUACAAAGGAGUGAAUGCUACUAAUGUUUUUAUUGCAUGUCGAACUGAGACCAAGAGAUUAAAGAAUGUGUAUUGCCUUACUUUCCUUAAAGAUAUUAUUUUGGGAUUACAGAAAUUGAUUACUGCUUUGUUACCUUAAUGGGAUGAAAGUCAUUGGAGAAAGUGAGUACAGCUCAUGGGAGGAUGCAACUUUAAGGGGUUUGUUCCUCCUUUGUGAUAAGAGUUUUCACAGUGCUUCCGUAUACAUUUCUCAUCUCAUCCUUAUAAUAGCUCUGUUAUUCCCAUUU
rnacentral:lncRNA from 10 species